UACAGGGGGGGCAAGCGUUGGUUCGGAAUUACUGGGCGUAAAGGGCUCGUAGGCGGCCAACUAAGUCACACGUGAAAUCCCCAGGCUUAACCUGGGAACUGCGUGUGAUACUGGAUGGCUUGAUCCGGGAGAGGGAUGCGGAAUCCUGGUGGUAGCGGUGAAAUGCGGCAGGAAUAUCAGGAGGAACACCGGUGGCGAAAGGCGGUCUCUGGGCAUGUCCUGACGCUG
rnacentral:rRNA from 1 species